GCAUCUAUGGCAGAGUGGUCGAAUGCACCGCACUCAUAAUGCGGAAUUAUAAACGUCGUUGGUUCAAACCCAACUGGAUGCA
rnacentral:tRNA from 1 species